rnacentral:rRNA from 1 species
CCCUUAGAUGUUCUGGGCCGCACGCGCGCUACACUGAUGCAUUCAACGAGCCUAUCCUUGACCGACAGGUCCGGGUAAUCUUUGAAUCUGCAUCGUGACGGGGAUAGAUUAUUGCAAUUAUUAAUCUUCAACGAGGAAUGCCUAGUAGGCGCAAGUCAUCAGCUUGCGUCGAUUACGUCCCUGCCCUUUGUACACACCGCCCGUCGCUACUACUGAUUGGACGUUUAAGCAAGAUUUUUAAACACUGACAGUUAAUGGCUUCGGCCAAGACACAGUGAGAAGAAGAAGAUCGAGCUUACUUGUCUAGAGGAAGUAAAAGUCGUAACA